rnacentral:ncRNA from 1 species
UAACCUCUGACGAAAAUCGUGAAUGUCA